rnacentral:rRNA from 1 species
CUACGGGAGGCAGCAGUAGGGAAUAUUGCGCAAUGGGCGAAAGCCUGACGCAGCGACGCCGCGUGAGUGAUGAAGGUCCUCUGGAUUGUAAAGCUCUGUAAGGAGGGAAGAACCGCCUGGUGUAACGGCCAGGUCUGGCGGUACCUCCAAAGUAAGCACCGGCUAAAUAAGUGACCAGCAGCCGCGGUAAUACUUAUGGUGCGAGCGUUGUCCGGAAUGACUGGGCGUAAAGGGUGCGUAGGCGGACUUUCAAGUCAGGUGUGAAAUCCCCGGGCUUAACCUGGGAACUGCGCUUGAAACUGGAAGUCUAGAGUAUGUGAGGGGUUAGCGGAAUGCCCGGAGUAGCGGUGAAAUGCGUAGAGAUCGGGAAGAACACCGGUGGCGAAGGCGGCUAACUGGCACAUGACUGACGAUGAGGCACGAAAGCGUGGGGAGCGAACGGGAUUAGAUACCCGAGUAGUC